rnacentral:lncRNA from 1 species
UUAAUUUACUGCUUUUGUUUGGCUUGGUUUUGUAUUCCUUCCCCUUGCUUUUGUUUUGUUUUUCUUUGUUCUGCUUUCCCUUUCUCUGCUUUUGUUCUGUUUGGCUUUUUGUUUUCUGUUUUCCUUUCCUCUGUUUUAUUUAUUUUUCCUUCCAUUAGCUUGUUUUGUUUUUUUGUUUUGCUUUCACUUUUUCUUCUUUCAUUUAGUUUUGCUUCUCUUUGCUUUUGUUUCAUUUUCCUUUCUGUGCCUCUGCUUUUGUUUUGUUUUGUUUGCUUUGUUUUUGUUUCGUUUUUCUUUCUGUGCCUCUGCUUUUGUUUUGUUUGCUUUGUUUUUUUUUUGUUUCGUUUUUCUUUCUGUGCCUCUGCUUUUGUUUUGUUUCGCUACCCUUUUAUUUUGUUUUGUAUUGCUUUGCUUUUUGUUUUCCUUUCCUCUGCUUUUGUUUUGUUUUGCUUUCAUUUCCUCUGCUUUUGUUUUGUUUGCUUUGUUUUUCUUUUCUUUGUAAUUGAAUAAUAUUGGCUAUUUUCUGCUCUAGGUGACACCAGCUGAUAGAUAUGGAAGCAAAUUGGAUCAAUUUUGAUUUCGUGUUGACGUGAACACUAAUUGUAUAAAAUACAGUCAAAUGAAGUGUUCAGGAAAAUCAACGGCAGUCCCCAAUUAUCAAAGCUCUCAUCCGUUCAUUGUGAAGCAAACAGGUAAGUACAAGUGAAGGACAGACGCUGCCUUUGGUAUAGAACACAGACGCUAUCAUGAAAACAUUCAGUGAAAUCUCACGAUAGAAAAGAUGCACCAGUCAGUCACACCGGAUCACUUCAGUACAGCUCUUGAUAUUUUACAGUGGCAGGACUGAUGGUUAUUUAAUGUGAAUCACUCAAUCACCAUUUAGCUCUGUAACUGCAUCUCGUAUCUACAUUUUUAAAAACGUGCUACAGUAAACAAAUACAUUUAGUCAUGACCCCACCCCACUGUGCAGGAACACAUGGAUGAAACCAAAACAAUAAAUUAAGCUUAACCAGUGACGUACAAUUCAAACGUAGAACGUAAAAACAGAUGUCCACAGAAAUAAGCCAGCACAAUUAAAAAAAAAAACAUUUCGAAACUCGUAUUAAGUGAGAUUCCUCUCUGAUUUAGUGUCUCACGACAUAAUUAAGUACUGGUUAAGAAAGAUGAAAACUGUACACACCUAAGAAAGCAAACGAGGAAUAUAAUCUUUUCUGAACAUUUUGUUUCGUUUUUAUAUGAAAUCAUUGCUUUGCAAUUGAACGCAUCACAGUUAUCUCCCACAUAAAUGCAAACACCUCAUUUCUUUUCAAUUGUAUAACAUUAAUACGUUAUAUAUAUGUACUUUUUAUUUUACAUAUCGUAAUUCACAUCAGCACGGUUAGCUAGCAUGGAAAUGAAAUAAGGCAAGACUCACAUGACUGUGGCAUUACAAAUUAUUAAUACUGAUAGUUAAGGUUGUUGUUUUUUUUCUCUCUCUUUUUUGUUCUCUGCAGGCUUUGGUCUUGUGUUGACGGAGGCGGUAUUUCUUCAUACUGGCUUUGAGACCGCGCUAUAUUCGUAUUCACAUUUGUUGAUGAACAAAACUGCCAAAAUGUUCCAACCGAGCUGAAAAAUCUACACUAAUAAAUAGAAAAAAGUGUGUUGUGAGUUUUUGAGGGCGAAUCUUAGUAAAUACAUUUCCAGGUCACAAUGCAUCCCACAAAUCAAAAAAUAAGAAAAUAUUUUGAUUAAGGUUUUAUAGUUGCAUUAAUUUGGUCAUUGUUAAUAAUGAUUAAUUCCCAUUUCCAUAACAAUUAAGCAUUUUUACUCCCAAAAUAUAGUUUAUUAUGAAUUAUCUAUUAAAUGUUUAUGUCUGGACAAUUUAGCACAUUUACCUCAAAAAUUAUUUUUAAUAUGAAUUAUUUUCAUUAAAUUAAUUAUAAAAUUGUUACUAAUUAUUCAUUCUUAUUUUCAUGACAAUUUAGUAUUUUUACAACCAGAU